rnacentral:tRNA from 1 species
CCUUGGCGAGUGCCUGGGAGAAGCGCCGGUACGGAAAAUACAGCUGGCGGAUGUUGAAGUCGGGCGAGAUGUGGUUCUUGGCCUCAACCAAGAU